GCGUCGGUGGUACAACUGUUUUAGCACAUGCUCCUGGAAAGAGUAGGAUCUGGGUUCGAAUCUCGGCUAACGCA